rnacentral:rRNA from 1 species
GACGAACCGUGCGAACGUUAUUCGGAAUCACUGGGCUUAAAGCGCGUGUAGGCGGGCCGCCGCGUCGGCUGCUGAAAUCCCCCGGCUCAACCGGGGAAGGGGCACCGAUACGGGCGGCCUGGAGGGGGGUAGGGGGGCCUGGAACGUUCCGGUGGAGCGGUGGAAAUGCGUUGAGAUCGGAAGGAACGCCCGUGGCGAAAGCGAGGCCCUGGACCCUUACUGACGCUGAGACGCGAAAGCCAGGGGAGCGAACGGG